rnacentral:rRNA from 1 species
GAUGAACGCUGGCGGCGUGCCUAAUACAUGCAAGUCGAGCGAACGGACGAGAAGCUUGCUUCUCUGAUGUUAGCGGCGGACGGGUGAGUAACACGUGGAUAACCUACCUAUAAGACUGGGAUAACUUCGGGAAACCGGAGCUAAUACCGGAUAAUAUUUUGAACCGCAUGGUUCAAAAGUGAAAGACGGUCUUGCUGUCACUUAUAGAUGGAUCCGCGCUGCAUUAGCUAGUUGUGAAGGUAACGGCCUACCAAGGCAAGUAUGCAUAGCCGACCUGAGAGAGGGAUCGCCCACACUGGAGCUGAGACACGGACCAGACUCCUACGGGACGCAGCAGUAGGGAAUCGUACGCAAUGGGCGGAAGCAUGACGGAGCAACGCCGCGUGAGUGAUGACGGUCUUCCGAUCGUAAAACUCUGUUAUUAGGGAAGAACAUAUGUGUAAGUAACUGUGCACAUAGUGACGGUACCGAAUCAGAAAGCCACGGCUAAUUACGUG